GUAAACAUCACGUCUGCCCCCAACGAGUCUCCCUCCUUCCCUCCCCUUGCAAAUUCCUCUUGCAAACGUAACCUGUGCCGGAGCGAGUGGAAAAAGGAGUUUAUUGCCUCCCCGAGUAACUGGGUUGCGAUCACGGGCAAAAUUUGCUGCUCUAGGGAUGGGGAAGUGGAUGAUUCCUAUUCCUCUCUGGGUAAAAUAAGUAAAGACAGACAGAUAGAUAGACAUAUAGACAGACAGACAGAUAGAUUGAUGAAAAGCCUGAUUUUUUUCAAGGCGCUGAACUAUGAUGUUGGAUAGUGAGACCAUCUGAGAUGUCUUACCCCCAGCUCUGUGCUGUUCAGCCACUCAUGGGAAGGAGAUAAGGGGUCUGAAAUAUCUAAAUGGACACUAAAAGGCAUGGGCAGGAUUAAGGGCUGAAGGUUUCCAGUGUGCUCGUGGAGGGGAGGGAAGCAAAGAGUUUCCAGAGAUGAAAAGACAGAGCAAUACCCCGAGCUGAGAAGUAUGUCUGGAUGCUCCUGGGUGUGCUGCCUUCCCCUCCAAUGGAUGCAACAAACUCAAAUCCAAGUGGGCAUUAAAGGAAAACAGCCCAUGGCAAUGAAAUCCUGCCUCCCUCAUUGUCCACCAGAGUUUUGUCUUGGACUUCAAGGGAGAUGGGAACUCGCCCUCAGAGGUUAUUAAAAUCCUUUGUAAUAACAGCGCUUCUCCAGUAACCCUUUACAGCAGGCAUACGCUGGGGUUGCUAUAGCAGACAGAAUGGGAAAACGCAUUUCAGAUGGCAGAGCAAACACCCAGGAAUAUUCCUUCUCCCCUCCACUAUUGCUUCCUUAAUUGGGGCACCAAGGCAAAAAGCUCUGGUAGGGACAAAUCCAGAGCUGGGGCUCAGGUGAGACAUAUUUGCCCCAAGUUAAUGAAUCAGCAUUGGGGACCCCCUUUGGGGGGUUCAGAUCAGAUAUAAAGAAACAUUUCUACUUAGAAAGAGUGGCAAUGCAUUGGCACAGGCUGCACAGGGAGGUGUUGGAGUCAUCAUCCCUGGAGGUGUUCAAGAACCAUGGAGAUGUGGCACUUGGGGACAUGGUCAGUGGGCAUGGUGGGAUGGGCUGGGGUUGGACUUGAUGAUCUUAGAGUUCUUUUCCAACUUUAACUCACCUGUGACUUGGGGAUGUCAGUGAGUACUUUUCAGGAGGCAGGCUUUUCUGCUUGUUUUGUCGUUGGCUUUCUUGUGGGGUGGGCUUCCCAUUGGAAACCACCGCAAAGACCACAUGAACAGCCCGGAGCGGUGUCUGAAGUGGAGAACUGAAGGGAAACCCAUUUACUGCAAUUAAUAUCGCUGCUAAAACAAGUCAUGCCCCGGAGAUAGAGAGGACCCUUGUAAGAAUUUGAGUUUGUUUGUUGCUUUGUUUAUUUGUAUGGAGCGAAGAAGAAAAUGGAGGGGAUGGGAGAAUCUCUGAGAGCCUUUUUUCCCUCCGGGCUGCUCUACAGUGAUGGGGCUGUGUGUUUAUAAAGCCGCUCCGUGAGCUCCAGGUGCCCGAGGACUUGGAAGAAGUGAGAGGCAGAGUUAAUGAGGUGAGAAGGAAAGCAGAAGGGAAAGAGCAGAACGCAUUUGUUGCAACAGAUCAGCCUGAAACAUCUGCAGGGCACGGGCACCUGCGUUGGUAGGGAAAUGUAGGUUUUUAGUUCGUAAAAGGGAAAAAAAAAAAAAACUCUGGAGAAAAGGAAGGGAGAGAUGGAGAGUGAGAUUUGGGCACGUCUUAAGAUUUAUCUUCUUUUUAUUUUUUCCCCUUCUUCCCAAAACCUUAUAGAGAGGGGGAAAUAAAGCGAAGCAGCGAACGCAGCCUUGCCGCACGCAGGGUUAAAUGGAAACACACAAUCAGACCAUAACUCAGGGUGUAAUUCAAGCCAUACGUUUUGUCUGUCUGUUGCCUCGAAAGGUUGUAUCAAGGCUUGGCGAGGGAGGGGAUAAUCCAAACUUCGUCGUGAUUCAUAAACCACUCCUUGGCGAUUUGGAUCAUAGAUCUCUUUCACGGCGACUCGCCCAACCUCAGAGCUAACCGUGGCUCCAUGCUCU
rnacentral:lncRNA from 1 species